UACGUAGGGGGCAAGCGUUGUCCGGAUUUAUUGGGCGUAAAGAGCGUGUAGGCGGCCAGGCAGGUCCGUUGUGAAAACUCGAGGCUCAACCUCGAGAUGUCGAUGGAAACCGUCUGGCUAGAGUCCGGAAGAGGAGAGUGGAAUUCCUGGUGUAGCGGUGAAAUGCGUAGAUAUUGGGAGGAACACCAGUGGCGAAGGCGGCUCACUGGACCGGAACUGACGCUGAGGUGCGAAAGCGUGGGGAGCAAACGGG
rnacentral:rRNA from 1 species